AAACUCAAAGGAAUUGACGGGACCCCGCACAAGCGGUGGAUUAUGUUGUUUAAUUCGACGCAACGCGAAGAACCUUACCAGGCCUUGACAUACUCGGCAAAGCUCUAGAGAUAGAGUGGAGGUUAUCCGGGAUACAGGUGGUGCAUGGUUGUCGUCAGCUCGUGUCGUGAGAUGUUGGGUUAAGUCCCGCAACGAGCGCAACCCUUGUCUUUAGUUACCAUCAUUCAGUUGGGGACUCUAGAGAGACUGCCGGUGAUAAACCGGAGAAGUGGGGAUGACGUCAAAUCAUCAUGCCCCUUAUGGCCUGGGCUACAAACGUAAUACAAUGGCGUAUACAAAGGGAUGCGAAAGGGCGACCUGGAGCAAAACUCACAAAGUACGUCUCAGUUCAGAUUGGAGUCUGCAACUCGACUCCAUGAAGGCGGAAUCGCUAGUAAUCGCGGAUCAGCAUGCCGCGGUGAAUACGUUCUCGGGGUUU
rnacentral:rRNA from 1 species